rnacentral:rRNA from 1 species
GAUGAACGCUGGCGGCGUGCCUAAUACAUGCAAGUCGAGCGAACGGACGAGAAGCUUGCUUUUCUGAUGUUAGCGGCGGACGGGUGAGUAACACGUGGAUCACCUACCUAUAAUACUGGGAUAACUUCGGGAAACCGGAGCUAAUACCGGAUAAUAUUUUGAACCGCAUGGUUCAAAAGUGAAAGACGGUCUUGCUGUCACUUAUAGAUGGAUCCGCGCUGCAUUAGCUAGUUGGUAAGGUAACGGCUUACCAAGGCAACGAUGCAUAGCCGACCUGAGAGGGUGAUCGGCCACACUGGAACUGAGACACGGUCCAGACUCCUACGGGAGGCAGCAGUAGGGAAUCUUCCGCAAUGGGCGAAAGCCUGACGGAGCAACGCCGCGUGAGUGAUGAAGGUCUUCGGAUCGUAAAGCUCUGUUAUUAGGGAAGAACAUAUGUGUAAGAAACUGUGCACAUCUUGACGGUACCUAAUCAGAAAGCCACGGCUAACUACGUG